ACAGCCUACGGGGGGCAGCAGUAGGGAAUCUUCCACAAUGGACGAAAGUCUGAUGGAGCAACGCCGCGUGAGUGAAGAAGGGUUUCGGCUCGUAAAGCUCUGUUGGUAGUGAAGAAAGGUAGAGGUAGUAAAUGGCCUUUAUUUGACGGGAAUUACUUAGAAAGUCACGGCUAACUACGUGCCAGCAGCCGCGGUAAUACGUAGGUGGCAAGCGUUGUCCUGAGUUAUUUGGCGUAAAGCG
rnacentral:rRNA from 1 species